rnacentral:rRNA from 1 species
UACGGGGGGGGCAAGCGUUGUUCGGAAUUACUGGGCGUAAAGGGCUCGUAGGCGGCCAACUAAGUCGGAUGUGAAAUCCCCAGGCUUAACCUGGGAACUGCAUCCGAUACUGGAUGGCUUGAAUCCGGGAGAGGGAUGCGGAAUUCCAGGUGUAGCGGUGAAAUGCGUAGAUAUCUGGAGGAACACCGGUGGCGAAGGCGGCCAUCUGGCUCGGUACUGACGCUCAGGCGCGAAAGCGUGGGGAGCAAACAGG